rnacentral:rRNA from 1 species
GACGAACGCUGGCGGCGUGCUUAACACAUGCAAGUCGAACGGAAAGGCCCUGCUUUUGUGGGGUGCUCGAGUGGCGAACGGGUGAGUAACACGUGAGUAACCUGCCCUUGACUUUGGGAUAACUUCAGGAAACUGGGGCUAAUACCGGAUAGGAGCUCCUGCUGCAUGGUGGGGGUUGGAAAGUUUCGGCGGUUGGGGAUGGACUCGCGGCUUAUCAGCUUGUUGGUGGGGUAGUGGCUUACCAAGGCUUUGACGGGUAGCCGGCCUGUGAGGGUGACCGGCCACAUUGGGACUGAGAUACGGACCAGACUCCUACGGGAGACAGCAGUGGGGAAUAUUGCACAAUGGGCGGAAGCCUGAUGCAGCAACGCCGCGUGCGGGAUGACGGCCUUCGGGGUGUAAACCGCUUUCGCCUGUGACGAAGCGUGAGUGACGGUAAUGGGUAAAGAAGCACCGGCUAACUACGUG